GCCCCUAAGCAACAAAGAGAGAAAGCUUCCUUCUUCUCCAAGCCAUGCAAUGCUCACUUCUCUUUAUCCAUUUCCGCUCUCUGGUUGACCUCCAUGCUUUUCGUCCUCGAACAAACAUCAUGAACAUGGCUUCCACUAAGCGUCGGUGUGUACGGCUUCCAAUGUAUGGCCAACAAUUUUCAGAUAUUCUAUUGCACGGACAGAAGAAAAAAAAAAGGCUAGCAUAUGGCACUAUGGUUUUUGCAAAUUGUAACUUAUUAUAAUGUUUUUAUAUUAUAAUAGAAUACAAAUGGACAAUAUAAACGGAGACAUAACGGGAAACAAGAAAAUUAAUGGAAAAACAAUAAAAGUUACUGUUCAUAGUUA